rnacentral:rRNA from 1 species
UCCUACGGGAGGCAGCAGUGGGGAAUAUUGCGCAAUGGGCGAAAGCCUGACGCAGCAACGCCGCGUGCGGGAUGAAGGCCUUCGGGUUGUAAACCGCUUUCAGCAGGGAAGAAGCGAAAGUGACGGUACCUGCAGAAGAAGCACCGGCUAACUACGUGCCAGCAGCCGCGGUAAUACGUAGGGUGCAAGCGUUGUCCGGAUUUAUUGGGCGUAAAGAGCUCGUAGGCGGUUAGUCACGUCGGAUGUGAAAACCCGGAGCUUAACUCCGGGCCUGCAUUCGAUACGGGCUGACUCGAGUGUUGUAGGGGAGACUGGAACUCCUGGUGUAGCGGUGAAAUGCGCAGAUAUCAGGAAGAACACCGGUGGCGAAGGCGGGUCUCUGGGCAACUACUGACGCUGAGGAGCGAAAGCGUGGGGAGCAAACAGGAUUAGAUACCCUGGUAGUCCACGCCGUAAACGGUGGGCGCUAGGUGUGGGGAACAUUCCACGUUCUCCGUGCCGCAGCUAACGCAUUAAGCGCCCCGCCUGGGGAGUACGGCCGCAAGGCUAAAACUCAAAGGAAUUGACGGA